AUUAUUAGAGAGAAAAUACUUCACAGAGCAAUUAGGACAGUUCCUGUUAUCUUAGGAAAGAUAACUCACUUAUAACAAGUAUUUCUUUAAAAGCAGCUUUCACCACAUAUAGAACUUAGCUGUACGCUAUGCUUUAUAAGUAGCUCUCGUUGUCAGCUUAAUUGUUAGAAAGAAAGAAGAGCCCUGAAACUGGCACACUUACCAGACUGAAGCAGCUUCUUGUCUCAAACUCUCUGGUGUAUAUAAGCAGCAGCUGUUUGCCAUUGCCAAAUUUAUAGGACAAGCCUCCAGAGCACUGUGCUAAGGAUGGAAUGGCUGGCCGCAUGGAGGAGCCUGACAUCAUGGCUGAAUGGCUUUGGUGAAGAAUUGCUACUGGAAAGUGUGGAAGAAACUACAGCAGAAAAAUAUUUUUUUUGGUGUUGUUUAUUUUCAAAUAUGGAAGUUAACACUUUAUCUUCUGACAUUUCCUGCAUAUGCAGGAAUAUGACCUCAAUGCCUACCUGUAAUGAGCUUCAUUAUCUGUGGAUUUUAUUUUUGCUUAACUGCUCCAAAAUACUUGAAGUUUAUAAGCAAUAAAUUUACUAUCUGUGUA